ensembl:snRNA U1 U1 spliceosomal RNA
AUACUUACCUGGCAGGGGAGAUACCAUGAUCACGAAGGUGGUUUUCCCAGGGCGAGGCUCAUCCAUUGCACCCCGGAUGUGCUGACCCCUGCGAUUUCCCCAAAUGUGGGAAACUCGACUGCAUAAUUUGUGGUAGUGGGGGACUGCGUUCGCGCUUUCCCCUG